rnacentral:rRNA from 1 species
UGGUGCGGUCAUACCACCGUUAAUGCACCGGAUCCCGUCGGAACUCCGUAGUUAAGCGCGCUUGGGCCGGAAUAGUACUGGGAUGGGUGACCUCCCGGGAAGUCCCGGUGCCGCGCCCA